rnacentral:rRNA from 1 species
CCUACGGGAGGCAGCAGUGAGGAAUAUUGGUCAAUGGGCGGGAGCCUGAACCAGCCAAGUCGCGUGAGGGAAGAAGGUACUGAGUAUUGUAAACCUCUUUUGCCAGGGGACAAAGGCGGCCACGGGUGGCCGUAAGAGGGUACCUGGAGAAAAAGCAUCGGCUAACUACGUGCCAGCAGCCGCGGUAAUACGUAGGGGGCAAGCGUUAUCCGGAUUUACUGGGUGUAAAGGGAGCGUAGACGGCAGAGCAAGUCUGAAGUGAAAGCCCGCGGCCCAACUGCGGGACUGCUUUGGAAACUGCCCGGCUAGAGUGCUGGAGAGGUAAGCGGAAUGCCUAGUGUAGCGGUGAAAUGCGUAGAUAUUAGGCGGAACACCAGUGGCGAAGGCGGCUUACUGGACAGUAACUGACGUUGAGGCUCGAAAGCGUGGGGAGCAAACAGGAUUAGAUACCCCGGUAGUC